UCGUGUGUUUUCAUUGGCUGCGUCGUGUGUCGUCAUCGGUCAUGACCUUGUGGGCGGAGCCCUGAGAGGCAGAGAGGCGGAGAAACGAAGCCGGAAAACAGAUUUAAACCAACAUGAGAGCUGUUGCCUCUGUUUGUCAGUACUGUGAGAAAACUGGAUUACUGAAGAAGCCUGCAUACUAAAGCAAGCUUUGGAGCUGCUUUUUGUCGAACGAGUGAAGAUGGACGCUGAACAUGGCACGAAGGCGUCCCUGACAUGAGUUGUGGGCAUCUUACGGAGGCAAGGUGUCACCACUUCAUCCACGACAUCAUCUACGAUC